AAGCUCAGGUCUUUGCAGGCAUCCAUUGAUAAUUAGCUUCAUUUUUCAUUUGGGAUUCAUGAAUUUCUUUCACUUGCUUAAUAAUCCAAUUUCUUGUUUCCAAAUCAAAGAGAAGAAUACAAGCAAAUACAGAGGAGAUAAAAUACCUCUAAAGCAUAUAACUGUUCUUCUAUUCAAGCUUGCUUAUCCUUGAUGGGGGCCUUGAACAGGUAACGGAAAACCCAAGCAGCCAAAGUUGCUCCAGCAAAAGGGCAGAUCCAAUAAACAUAAAACAACUCCCAGGUGUUAUGCCAAUUGUUUAUAUAUGCCCAUCCAUAGGCAUUGGCAGGGUUCAAGGAAGGCCCUGUAUAUUGCCUACCAGAAACAACCAAUCCCACAGUAACCACAGCCACCAUCCAAACCUUCAAUAACAAGUUCUUGGGACCUUUAACCAUAACAAGAAGCAUAGCAAGGCAAAAAACAAAAGUCAACGUCCCUUCUGCAACUGCUCCUGUAUGCAAAUCCACCUUCAAAGAAGGACCCUUGAGCAGAUGCUUGUAUUUGCUAGGCAUAGCUUGUAAGAUUGCCUUGGCUCCACCAACCCCUCCAGCCGCCUGAGCAGGAAAUCGCACGGCCAUGGACAUGAGAGACGCAUCAGGUUUAAUCCCAGCAGCAUAAAAGGAUAUAGUUGCGGUGGGAUUGAAGCUGGCACCACCCAAGGCAGCUCCUAUCAAGCUGAAAGUUAGCACAAAACAAGUGGCUACAUUUAUAGUAAUGAAAAGACCUGCUACUGACAUGGCUUCUACACCUAUAUAUGCUGCUACGGCGGAGGCCAAAAUUCCCAGAAGUGGCAUGCUAAAUACCCACAUGGAAGUCAAAAUUGCAUCUCCUAUGGCUGCUUUGAUCACACCCAUGGUGGUGUAUCUCUCUAUUUCUCUUGGACUGCAAUAUUAAACUGUUUUAUCUCUUGGGUGUUUGUUUGUGCAGUCCUGAGGCAGAAAAGAAACAAGCAAAGGUUAGCUGUACAAGACAAAACCAAAAGACACUCGCCGG
rnacentral:misc_RNA from 1 species